ACCAGUCUUAGGAGGAAAAGGUGUAACCUGAGCCAUUUGUGCCAUUAAUCCCCUUGUGAUGCUACAGAAAGACCCAGAUCACCAAGCAGCUAACCGAGGCCCAGGUAGGAACAUUAUUUGCAAUUGUAGAGUGGGUAUUGUGCAGUGAGAUUUACUGCGCAACCAAGGAGCUGUGGCAAGGGGAAUCCAGUCUCGGCAGACUCUCAUCUCUGCAGUGUUGGGAAGAAGAGAACUCCUUUCUUACCUGGGAGGACAUGGACAUGCUGGUGCCCAUCCAUGUGAGGAGGAAAUUACCAGUUCAUCGGGUUUCAGCCCAAGCGUGACACAAUGAAGAACCUCAAGUAAAUAUCUGUAUCUAGACAUCCUGCUCCAGUAAACAUCUAAGUAUCUCAAGUCAGACAAAGCCAGGCUGUGCUUUGUGCAGAAAAAGUAGACCUCUCACGUUCUCCGUGUUGGCAUUUGCAUGCUUCCCUACCACCCCACUUUCACCCUUCAGCAAACGGGCCAACUAUUCCAGCAACCUCUGAGAAGUUCCUGAAGGAGUAAAGGUGCCACGUAUGAGAAUCACUGAAAGCACCUGGAAAAUCUCAGCUGGUUGAGUGGAAAUGUAUGAUAAUUCUUUUGGAGCUCUGAGGAGAGAUUCCAUCUUGAGGACUGGUGUCAGAGAGGAGUUGAAAGAUGCUGGCAAUGUUACUGGACACAGAUUACCAGGACUCUGCAGUGCUUUCAAGGCAGCCCUUCCUCAAAAACUAGAAACAGA